CACUCAUCCUCACACACAGACGUGUGAACACUGAGAUUCCUACUUUGUGACCCAGGGCUGGUGGCUUGAAUUGAGAUCAAUGUGCCAUUACAGGAGUUGGUGUCACUUGAGGAUGUGGCUGUGGACUUUACUUGGGAGGAGUGGAGGGACUUGAGUGAUGCCCAGAGGACUUUGUACAGGGAUGUGAUACUGGAGACCUACCGCAGCCUGGUGUCAUUGGGGUACUGCAUUAGUAAACCUGAGGUGAUCCUCAAGUUGGAGAAAGGAGCAUAGCCAUGGAUGAUAGAAGAACGCCCAAAACAGAGCCUCCCAGAUGUCCAGAUAGUCAAUGACUUAAUUGAGAGGAGCCAAGGAAGUCAUGGUAGAUACUUGUGGCAAGGUGUAAUCAUCAAUGGCAACCAGUCAACUGAGGAGAGAGUGGAGUUAGGAAAAUCAGUGAAUUCAUAUUCAGUGCAUAUUUUAAAUCUGUUACAAAUAAUGAAAACUAUUCAGGAGUGAGGCAUGAGGAGUUUAACAAAUGUCAGAAUGCAGUUCUUCCAGAGAUUGAUGCCAUGUGUCCUGGACAGAAACCUGAUGAGCACAAUAUAUCUGAGGAAUCACACAGUCAUCAUGAGCAUCUUAAUCAGCAUCCUAAGAUUCCAGCUGGGCAAAUUUUGAAUAUAGUGGAAACAGACAAUCCUCCAAUACAGUGCCAAUAAUAUUUGCAUAUAAGAAAAUUCAUAUAGGUGAGACCACUUGUAAAUAUAGAGAAUAUGGGAAAGCCUGUAAUAAGUCAUCUGUCGUAGCCCAAGAGAUAGCUCUAGUAGGGAAGGAAACUUUUCAGUGUGUUGUAUGUGAACUGACUGUGUCUUUUUAAAAUAAAACCACUCUUUUCUCUUGUUUGCAUAGCCUGCAAUCUGAGUAUUCCAUGAUUGGGUGGAUGACCGUGUAAUUUAACUCUGUUCAGGGGAAUGUAGAUAUAAGUGGUGAACGUUACUUCCAGUUCAGGCAACAAAAU